AGAUUGAACGCUGGCGGCGUGCCUAACACAUGCAAGUCGAGCGGUAACAGGUGUAGCAAUACAUGCUGACGAGCGGCGAACGGGUGAGUAAUGCUUCGGAAUCUACCUUAUGGUGGGGAAUAACUAGCCGAAAGGUUAGCUAAUACCGCAUACGUCCUACGGGAGAAAGCAGGGGAUCGCAAGACCUUGCGCCAAAAGAUGAGCCGAAGUCGGAUUAGCUAGUGGUAGGUAACGGCUACAAGGCGACGAUCCGUAGCUGGUCUGAGAGGACGACCAGCACACUGGAACUGAGACACGGUCCAGACUCCUACGGGAGCAGCAGUGGGAAUAUGGACAAUGGGGAACCUGAUCAGCGACGUCCGGCGUGUGUGAAGAAGGCCGUGGCGGGUUGAAGCUACUUUAGUGGGAUGAAAUGUAGCAGAGCUAAUACUCUAGUACUUUGACCUAACC
rnacentral:rRNA from 1 species